AUUUCUGUAUCAGGAUUUUUGAGAGGGCUAUUGAGUUCAUCCUGGAAAAGCAUUUGGAGCAUGGUUUUCAGGACUUUGAGGCAGCUGAGAUCUUAGAGCACUUAACCAACCAAGGUUGAUCUCAGCUCUGCGGCUGUAGUCAUACAAAACACCACCACAGAUGCCUGGAGAGCUGCUUCCAGCUCUGUCUGAACUCUCCACUUCUGCUCCAUGUCUUCAGCAAAUCUCUCCGGACCCCUCUGUCCAAGCAGAUGUGCCUCCAAACUGUGUGGUGCUGUUUGCAGGGAGCAACAUGGGGUCCCUCCUUCAGACUCUGUAAGGCCUGCACCUCAAAUGCUGUUCGUUUCCCUUCGGGGAGCCCGGCCUCCUUGUUUAUCAGCUCAGAUAACUUCUGCAGGAGGUGUCCCAGUCUCCUCUACUAGCCCAGAUUAGGAUCCUGUGGCAUGAGGGUGACCUCCAGGCAGCAUUUCUUGCCUCCCCUUCUCUCUAGACUUGGAGGUUCUAGAGAGUCCUUGUGGGUCCCAGCACCUGCCACAGUGCAGGGUGCACAGAGGCAUUUAAUUAACAUUUACAAGUGAA